rnacentral:rRNA from 1 species
CACGUAGGCGGACUAUUAAGUCAGGGGUGAAAUCCCGGGGCUCAACCCCGGAACUGCCUUUGAUACUGGUAGUCUUGAGUUCGAGAGAGGUGAGUGGAAUUCCGAGUGUAGAGGUGAAAUUCGUAGAUAUUCGGAGGAACACCAGUGGCGAAGACGGCUCACUGGCUCGAUACUGACGCUGAGGUGCGAAAGCGUGGGGAGCAAACA